rnacentral:snRNA from 1 species
AUCUCAUUUGUUUAAUUAUAAGA